rnacentral:rRNA from 1 species
UUUUAUUUGAGAGUUUGAUCCUGGCUCAGGAUGAACGCUGGCGGCGUGCCUAACACAUGCAAGUUGAGCGAUUUACUUCGGUAAAGAGCGGCGGACGGGUGAGUAACGCGUGGGUAACCUACCCUGUACACACGGAUAACAUACCGAAAGGUAUGCUAAUACGGGAUAAUAUAUUUGAGAGGCAUCUCUUGAAUAUCAAAGGUGAGCCAGUACAGGAUGGACCCGCGUCUGAUUAGCUAGUUGGUAAGGUAACGGCUUACCAAGGCGACGAUCAGUAGCCGACCUGAGAGGGUGAUCGGCCACAUUGGAACUGAGACACGGUCCAAACUCCUACGGGAGGCAGCAGUGGGGAAUAUUGCACAAUGGGCGAAAGCCUGAUGCAGCAACGCCGCGUGAGUGAUGAAGGCCUUCGGGUCGUAAAACUCUGUCCUCAAGGAAGAUAAUGACGGUACUUGAGGAGGAAGCCCCGGCU